GACGAACGCUGGCGGCGUGCUUAACACAUGCAAGUCGAACGAAGUGGCGAACGGGUGAGUAACGCGUAAUCAACCUGCCCUUCAGAGGGGGACAACAGUUGGAAACGACUGCUAAUACCGCAUAAGGAAGAAGGGGAUUGCGUCGGAUUAGCUAGUUGGGGGGGGAACGGCCAACCAAGGCGAUGAUCAGUAGCCGGUCUGGGAGGAUGAACGGCCACAACGGGACUGAGACACGGCCCAGACUCCUACGGGGGGCAGCAGGGGGGAAUCUUCCGAAAUGGAGGGAAGUCUGACGGAGCAACGCCGCGGGAGUGAUGACGGCCUUCGGGUUGGAAAGCUCUGUUAAUCGGGACGCGGUACCGGAAUAGAAAGCCACGGCUAACUACGUGCCAGCAGCCGCGGUAAUUC
rnacentral:rRNA from 1 species